AGCUAUACCGUGUGUGUGAAGAAGGUUUAAAUACUGUAAAACACUUUUACCAAGGAAUAAAAUAAUUGAAUGUACUAGGUGAAUAAGUACCGGCUAAUUACGUGCCAGCAGCCGCGGUAAUACGUAUGGUGCAAGCGUUAAUCAGAUUUAUUAGGCGUAAAGGGUAUGUAGGCGGUUUAUUGUGAAAGAUGUUAAAAAAUAAAGCUCAACUUUAUAACGCAUCUUUUACUAAUAUUCUGGAGUUUAAAAGAGGAGAGCAGAAUUUUACAUGUAGCAGUGAAAUGCGUAAAUAUGUAAAGGAAUACCAAAAGCGAAGGCAGCUCUCUGGGUUAAUACUGACGCUGAGGUACGAAAGCGUGGGUAGCAAACAGGAUUAGAUACCCUGGUAGUCCACGCCCUAAACAAUGUCAACUAGUUAUUAGUUUUAGUGACGAAGCUAACGCGUUAAGUUGACCGCCUGGGGACUACGAUCGCAAGAUUAAAACUCAAAGGAAUUGACGGGGACCCGCACAAGUGGUGGAUGAUGUGGAUUAAUUCGAUGCAACACGAAAAACCUUACCUACUCUUGACAUGUACAGAAUCAUAUUUGAAAAAAUAUAAGAACUAUACACAGGUGCUGCAUGGCUGUCGUCAGCUCGUGUCGUGAGAUGUUGGGUUAAGUCCCAAAACGAGCGCAACCCUUUUUUUAAGUUGCAAAAGCACUCUUAAAAAACAGCUGGUAAAAACAACCAGAGGAAGGAAAGGACGACGUCAAGUCCUCAUGGCCCUUAUGAGUAGGGCUACAAA
rnacentral:rRNA from 1 species